rnacentral:lncRNA from 1 species
GGAUUAACAACAUACUAGGGUCAAGCACAACUCUAAACCUCAAUGGAUAUCAUUACAUUACAUUACUGAAUUAUACUUUACAUUUCAUCAUUUUCAUGUCCACUUCUAACUAUUACAUAGACAAGACUUUACUCUAGCUGACCUCCUGGUCUAUCCCGUACCUGCAAACCUGGAGAAAUUAGGGAGCGGGGUGAGCUACUAGAGCCCAGUGAGCAGAAUAAUAAAACAUUGUAUUUAAAACAUGUGAUAUCAUGGAAUGCAUCACCGCACAAACAAUUCACAUCACGGAUGAACUUGUCACCAUUUAGCCCUCUAUACAGUCUAAUCAUGCCAGGGGCAUAGAGCAGGCACGCCUGGACUUCCAUAUCAUAACAUACAUAUCCAAUAGUGCCGGGAGCGUAGUGCAGGCACGCCCGGACUUUCCCUUACAUAGUGCCAGGGGCGUAGAGCAGGCACGCCUGGACUUCCAUAUCCUAUCAUCAUGUCAUAACAUAUGAGGGCUAAUGGAUCAUUCAACAUUCAUUCACAUCAACAACAUAAUAUGCAAUGCACAUAUUCGUGAAUUCUAAUGCAAGCACCCUAAUAUAUCUCAUGGCAUUCAUGAUGCAUAAAUCAUGCUAAAACUUUUCUUGUUUGCUUGAAACAUAAAGAGUUAUUCCACUCACCUCUGGCUAGCUCUGACAAGACACUGAAGCAGCUGACUCACUGCUGGGAUCCUCGGUUCCUCGGGUCCGAACCUACACAGGUGGACUCAAAUGAGGGACCAAACAUACAUAAACAUGACUCUAAAAUACUCCUCAAAAACCCCCUAAAACAUCUUAAAACAAUCAUAGAAAUCAUGCAAAGGAGGGCUGAACAGGGCACUUUCGGCGGCAGGUUCGGCGGCCGAAAGUCCCUCCAGAGCCGAAAGUCAUGCACCUUCGACGGCACUUUCAGCGGCCGAAGGUUCCCUCCAGAGACGAAACUCAUGCAUGUUCGACGGCACCUUCGGCGGCCGAAACUCCCCUCCAGAGCCGAAAGUCACUUUCGGGGGCAGGGUUCAGCAGCCGAAAUCUGGCCUCCACAGGCAGGUUCGGCGGCCGAAAGAGCCUUCGGCUGCCGAACCUGGGUCCUCCCAAAGUGGCAGAACCCAGCCUUUCUCAUGCAUAAAUGCCUCCCAACUCAUUAAAUCAUGCAUUUUCCUAUUCUACAACAUGCAUACUCAAGCAUAUAAGCUCCUAAGGGCUUCAAACUAUCUUAAACCCCAACUACAACACAUCAAACAUGCAUUUUCAACAUACAUUGUUCAUAAACACACAUUUAACCAAAAACUCAUCAUAAACCUACACAUGCUUUUCUACCCCAAGAAACUUCAUAAAACUUGCUUAAAACAUGAAAUGAACUAUGGAUCUACUCUUACCUUUUGAAGAACGAGAGGAGAGACGAUCCUAACUCGGAGAUGGGGAGAAAUCAACUCUUUGGUCUCCAAGCUUCAAAACUUGCUCUUUUUGUUCAAAUAUCUU